AAUCCGAGGGAGGCUGUCAGUGGGCCGCCAUGGUUCGACAAUACACAAACAGCGGGGGUUGUGGAUACAGGGACUGCCAGGGUACAAAGCAAGGUGUCGGUGGCCAACCAUGGGAAAAAGCUGUCAACAAGGUGGCUCAGCCGGCAGUGCCCGGGGUUCCCAUGGGGCCCGAGAUCUGCCUGAAGUGGAGAGUCAAGGACGCUGAGAGAUGACAAGGGACAGCUUGAGAAAUGGAGGACUCUUCACUGUCUGAGCAGACGCAAUGGGCCACAGUCAACAAGAUGAAUAGUUGGCCCGGGAUCAAAGGCAGACCCAAACCGGUCACUCUGGCCACCACAAAGGGGCGGUGAGUGCUGGCGAGGGGCCAGGUGCUGCACAUGGCCACAUAGCCAGGGACAAGCCGUGCAGAUGGGGCCUGCAGAGCCCUUGUUGCCUCCACCCCCACUCCUGUAUACAAGAGAGUGCGGAGUGCAGAGCGAGGCUGGCGGCCUGUGCAGCGGGAAGAGAACCAGCUGAG